UUGAACCCUCUAAGGCCUAGGGUUUGAGUUACCUUUAGGGGAAACAACCACUUCCUUGUGAUCAGGAGAAGUCGUUGACCGCCUAAUCUUUAGGGGAUAAUGGUGGACUCCCUCUCCUCUGACUAACAAUAUUACACACUUCAUUAGUGCCAAGGGCGAAUCCUGAGGAUAUCGCCUAGGCGGUCUCGCUCUUGGACGAGGGCGCCCUUGUUUAGGACACUCACAAAUAUAACACUACACAUGCCAUUCUC
rnacentral:lncRNA from 1 species